CCUACGGGUGGCAGCAGUGAGGAAUAUUGGUCAAUGGACGAGAGUCUGAACCAGCCAAGUAGCGUGAAGGAUGACUGCCCUAUGGGUUGUAAACUUCUUUUAUAUGGGAAUAAAAUGUUCCACGUGUGGGAUUUUGUAUGUACCAUAUGAAUAAGGAUCGGCUAACUCCGUGCCAGCAGCCGCGGUAAUACGGAGGAUCCGAGCGUUAUCCGGAUUUAUUGGGUUUAAAGGGAGCGUAGGUGGAUUGUUAAGUCAGUUGUGAAAGUUUGCGGCUCAACCGUAAAAUUGCAGUUGAAACUGGCAGUCUUGAGUACAGUAGAGGUGGGCGGAAUCCGUGGUGUAGCGGUGAAAUGCUUAGAUAUCACGAAGAACUCCGAUUGCGAAGGCAGUUCACUGGACUGCAACUGACACUGAGGCUCGAAAGUGUGGGUAUCAAACAGGAUUAGAUACCCUUGUAGUC
rnacentral:rRNA from 1 species